rnacentral:rRNA from 1 species
UACAGAGGUCUCAAGCGUUGUUCGGAAUCACUGGGCGUAAAGGGCGCGUAGGCUGCACGGUAAGUCAGAGGUGAAAUCCCGGAGCUCAACUUCGGAAUUGCCUCCGAUACUGCCGUGCUUGAGGACUGGAGAGGAGAGUGGAAUUCACAGUGGAGCAGUGAAAUGCGUAGAUAUUGUGAGGAACACUAGUGGCGAAGGCGAAUCUCUGGACAGUUCCUGACGCUGAGGCACGAAGGCCAGGGGAGCAAACGGG